rnacentral:rRNA from 1 species
ACUCAAAUGAAUUGACGGGGGCCCGCACAAGCGGUGGAACAUGUGGUUUAAUUCGAUGCAACGCGAAAAACCUUACCUACUCUUGACAUCCUAGGAAUACGGAAGAGAUUUCGUAGUGCCGCAAGGAACCUAGAGACAGGUGCUGCAUGGCUGUCGUCAGCUCGUGUCGUGAGAUGUUGGGUUAAGUCCCGUAACGAGCGCAACCCUUAUAUUUAGUUACCAGCGAGUAAUGUCGGGUACUCUAGAUAGACUGCCGGUGAUAAACCGGAGGAAGGUAGGGAUGAUGUCAAGUCAUCAUGGCCCUUACGAGUAGGGCUACACACGUGUUACAAUGGUUGGUACAAAGGGCAGCGAAGCCGUAAGGUGUAGCGAAUCCCAUCAAAGCCAAUCUUAGUCCGGAUUGAGGUCUGCAACUCGACCUCAUGAAGUUGGAAUCGCUAGUAAUCGUAGAUCAGCAUGCUACGGUGAAUACGUUCCCGGGCCUUGCACACACCGCCCGU